AGUUACGUGGCCGAGUGGGUAGGCGAUGGUUUGCACAACCUUCCACGGAGGUUCGAGUCCUUCCGUAACUGC
rnacentral:tRNA from 1 species